rnacentral:rRNA from 1 species
AACGMGAAGAACSKUMCCUGGUCUUGACAUCCACAGAACUUWCCAGAGAUGGAUUGGUGCCUUCGGGAACUGUGAGACAGGUGCUGCAUGGCUGUCGUCAGCUYGUGUUGUGAAAUGUUGGGUUAAGUCCCGCAACGAGCGCAACCCUUAUCCUUKGUUGCCAGCGGUUMGSCCGGGAACUCAAAGGAGACUGCCAGUGAWAARCUGGAGGAAGGUGGGGAUGACGUCAAGUCAUCAUGGCCCUUACGACCAGGGCUACACACGUGCUACAAUGKCAUUUCAAAGAGAAGCGCCUCGCGAGAGCAAGCGGACCUC